ACAGUUUAUUUCUCUUUUUCGACUUUUCACUUGUGGAAACAGUGGCAAUGGACAUCUUGCGUUGGGAGUCCACCGGCUUCAAUUGGGUGUUGUCUUUUAGUACCUUUCGUUCUUUUUUUUUUUUUGUUUCGUGAGCGAAAGCAUUACGAGACUUUGAUCAAUUCAAUUACUCUUUCCGAUCGGUUGAUUAUCAUUUAAAUUGAUACGGUACUAAUAGAGAUUGAUUGUUUUUAAAUUUGAAUUUGUAAUAUUUGCCGAGUUAAAUUUCGGUUGCAUUUUAAAUUUAUAUUUUCUUUUAAUUAAUUCCAUGAAUUUUUAAUACAAUUAAAGUUAGCGUGAUAAAAAAAGAAAAAAUAACCUGAAAAUUUAAGAAAUAUGUUAGUGUUAAUCACUAACUAUUCAUUCUUUUUUUUUUUUUUUCUUUUUUCUGUUAUGAAAUAUAAUAGAAAAUAGGGAGAGGUCUAAAAUUUAGGCUAAGUUGCUUCCACUUCCUUCAAUUCCCGAGGAUGUUCUAUCUUCUUUCUACCUUAUUUAUUUAUUAAUGAAUUUUUGUCUCUUACCACUUUGGCUCUAUUGUGCUGAAUUGUUCUAACCCCUAGCUAUUUCAUUUGCUUCUUUACUUGAAUAAUCUCUACUUGUCUUUUUGUCUGAAAAAUCACUAUUUGAUCAAUUUGAUAUACUACAUUAGUUAGUUUUUAAUUUUAAAAAAUAUAUUAAAAUAUUUUUAAUAUUUUAAAAAAUUUAAUAAUUGAUUUUUUUAGUAAUUUUAUCUAUUAAAUAUUGUAAAAAAUUUAAAAUGUUAAGAUUAAUUAAUAAAAUUUUUACAUUAAUUAUUCUUAAUUACAACUUCACGUUAGAUAUUAAAAUAUCGCUUCUUACACCCUAAAGUGCAGGGGUGAAGAUUUGGUAAAAUAAUUAUCAGACAAAAGAAAAAGCAGCCAAGAGGGACAACAAGAGAGAGAGAGAGAGAGGUGGCUCAGACAAAGAAGAAGAGAGAAAAGACAUUGAACAGAGUAACGAGAAGCAGCAGAGGCUGUGGAAUCUAAUCUCCUCUUCUCAUGUCUUCCACUAAAUGUAAUAAGUGGAAUUAGAUGGCUAAACACGGCCCGGAGAUGGUGGAAGAAACAACCAAUCAUGGCAAGACAAUCACAGAAAACAUUCUGAUUGCUCAAUCAUGGCAGCUCUUUUA
rnacentral:lncRNA from 1 species